UGGGGAAUUUUGGACAAUGGGCGAAAGCCUGAUCCAGCAAUGCCGCGUGUGUGAAGAAGGCCUUCGGGUUGUAAAGCACUUUUGUCCGGAAAGAAAUCCUUGGCUCUAAUACAGUCGGGGGAUGACGGUACCGGAAGAAUAAGCACCGGCUAACUACGUGCCAGCAGCCGCGGUAAUACGUAGGGUGCAAGCGUUAAUCGGAAUUACUGGGCGUAAAGCGUGCGCAGGCGGUUUGCUAAGACCGAUGUGAAAUCCCCGGGCUCAACCUGGGAACUGCAUUGGUGACUGGCAGGCUAGAGUAUGGCAGAGGGGGGUAGAAUUCCACGUNUAGCAGUGAAAUGCGUAGAGAUGUGGAGGAAUACCGAUGGCGAAGGCAGCCCCCUGGGCCAAUACUGACGCUCAUGCACGAAAGCGUGGGGAGCAAACAGGAUUAGAUACCCUGGUAGUCCACGCCCUAAACGAUGUCAACUAGUUGUUGGGGAUUCAUUUCCUUAGUAACGUAGCUAACGCGUGAAGUUGACCGCCUGGGGAGUACGGUCGCAAGAUUAAAACUUAAAUGAAUUGAC
rnacentral:rRNA from 1 species